rnacentral:lncRNA from 1 species
GCACCAAAUCAAAACGGACAUCUGGAAAUGACUCUAGAGGCUUUAUUUUAGAAGGCGACUACUAUGAUAAUGAAAAAUUAAUAGCAUUUCAAGUUUAGCAGUGGAGAUUUGAUCCCUUGUUCAGUUUUAUUCAAGUGGUUUUUGCCACUGCUUUGCCAAAUAACUUGUUUUGCUGGCACAUAUGGUUCACUUAUAGCUUUAGUAAAAUAGGGGAAAACACUGAAAUACCACAGCAAAAGUAAUUUUCCAAUAUAUUUUAAAACUACACAGGCUUAGUUAGAACAGCCACACAUUAACAGAGGCUUAAAAUAAGAUCUGCUAUGAUCACUAAAUAGAAGAAGCAUAGAAUUAUUUGUACUGACUGCUUAAAAGUGCAUAAGAAAUUAUAGGUGAAGAAUGACUUUUCUAACACCCUGCUGUCAUAUGAACGAAAGCAGUAAGAAUGUUUAGAGGCAGAAAUGCAGUACAGGAAGACAAGUUUAACAAGAGUAAAUUAGAUGCAGGCGAUAGAUAUCCCCAGUAUUAGGGUAGACUUUGUGGAUUUCUGCUGUCCCACAGCACAUUCUUGAGUGUUCGCCCCAUGCUUCCUUGUUUUUUAAAAUGUAUUUUGACUCAGUGUGCAUAGAUGCCCUUGACUGGGCCAUGCUCCCACAAGACGCACUGGGUGGGGCAGGAGCCCAUGUUAUCUUGGGAGAAGAUACUCUCUGGGUCACAUGUGGUUGGCCCCCCUC